UAACGAACUGUUAAAAAAUAAAAAUCAUUGAACCCCUGUCUGUCCACUCUGGCUCUCUUCUCUUCGGCAGUGAGGACGUUUGUGAUCCAGGAGGACGACGACCUCUGCUCUCCGUCGGGCCGGGACUGCAGCCUGUGCAGAACUGUUUAUACCGGCACUUUGUGCCAAUGAUACACUGCUAAGGGAAUUUCAGAGACUCCACGGUCACAGUGCCAAACCCGUGAUGGCCAGUUGGUGAAGAUCUCUAUUGUCAAGAUGAAGGAGAUGAGGUAAAACUCAAAGAGAGAGCCGAGGCUGUGCAGCUGAAAGCUCCAGCAGUGACGAUGAAGAAACCGAGGACAGAGCAGCGCCAAGGGGAGGAGACAGAGAUCAGGAGGCUGAAAGGAGCCUGCAGGAGAGGUCCCUGGAUGAUGCUGAUGCUGAUGGUCCAUGCACACAGUCUGAGUAGCAAGAAACUAGAGCAUCUGAGCAUAAGAUUUGUGAUGUGGAGUGACAGGAUCCAGGUGUGA
rnacentral:lncRNA from 1 species